ACUCAAAGGAAUUGACGGGGGCCCGCACAAGCAGCGGAGCGUGUGGUUUAAUUCGACGCAACGCGCAGAACCUUACCCAGACUUGACAUGCUACUGCAAGCCACGGAAACGUGGUCGCUCUUGAAGGUGUAGCACAGAUGCUGCAUGGCUGUCGUCAGCUCGUGUCGUGAGAUGUUGGGUUAAGUCCCGCAACGAGCGCAACCCCCGCGGCCAGUUAUAGGUGUCUGGCCGGACGGCCCUUCGGGGAGGAAGGCGGGGAUGACGUCAAGUCCGCAUGGCUCUUACGUCUGGGGCGACACACACGCUACAAUGGCGCCGACAGCGCGCAGCGACCGCGCAAGCGGAAGCGAAUCGCCAAACGGCGCCUCAGUGCAGAUCGGGGGCUGCAACUCGCCCCCGUGAAGGCGGAGUUGCUAGUAACCGCGUAUCAGCCACGGCGCGGUGAAUACGUACCCGGGCCUUGUACACACCGCCCGU
rnacentral:rRNA from 1 species